CGCUCCGCUCCACUACUUCAUCUUCAUUAUUUUUUUUUUUUCUAAUUUUGUUGUCCUCCUUUAGUACGGCUGGUGGUGUGGUGUGUUAAUUUUCGGGUCUAUGAUCUUUGUAAUUCAACCGAUCAUGGCUAUUUAGUUCUUCCUACCGGUGAAAUCUUUUCUAGGGUCUUUUUGAAGCGAAUCAUAUGAUCCGAUCAUCGCUCGUUGUGAAAUCGUCUCUAGGGUUUGGGUCGCUCUCAAUUCCAUCGGUCUUUUGGAAGCGAAUCAGUCUAUGAUGAUAAGACGCUCAUCGCUCCCCCGCUUCUGAAUUUUCAUACUCCUACGAUUUUGUGGAGGAGGAGGAUUCGCUACGGUCAUCGGUGAUGGCUUUGAUCGGUCUGAUGAUGCAGGUCGUCGUUGAGGUAGUGUGGGAUUGCUCUGUUAAAAUCUUAUGUAUCUUGUGUUACAUCUUCUAGUCUCUUUAGGUGAUAUGCUUACUUACUUCUGAGAGCUCCUCUGUUGCACUAGGCUGGACGUACAUGUGAGGUUUUGGAUGUGUGCUUUUACUGAUCAGUUAUGGCUUUGAUGGACACGCUUCACGUUGUCAUUGGUUUUUGUUCAUCCUCUUAACGCAUCUUCUUUUAUAGUUUUCUUCCUUACGUUUCUUUCUUCGUCUUGCAGGUUUUUUUGGAAGGGAAUUAUGAUCUGAUCAUCACAUAUUUUUCUCCAUUAUACACCUUCAGGCCUUCGCACGGGUUUGUAAAGGAUCGGUGAUGGCUUUGACUGAUAGUUGUCACUCUAGUUCAUGUUAUUCUUUUCAGGUUUUUAAUUAUGCUUUUUAACGAUGAGAGUCAUGGCUUUGAUGGACACGCCUCUUCUCUGCUCGCAGUCUUCAGGGGUGUUUUGUAAUCAGAUUCAAUCAUUGCAUAAUCUUCUCGAGGCAACAUUUCAGGCUUUCUCAGGGGUUCCUUACUUCAAACGCAUCUCUAUUUGCUUCCCUUCUUCUCUGUGCUAAUGUCUUCAAGGGUGUUUUGGAAGCGAAUUAUGAUAUGAUCGGAUCAGUGCAUAUUCUUCUCUCACGGUUGUGGAGGAUCGGUCGGUGAUGCUUUUGAUGGAUCCUUUUUGUUUACUGUGCCCUACAUCUUCAGAUCGUCGAGGCACCCAGAUUACUGUGUGGGAACAUCAGAAGAGAAACAUUGUGGGAGUGCGUAUAAUUUCUGAGUUCAACUUUCAGAUGUUCAAACAUUCAUAUGAGAGAUGAUCACAAAUUCUUCACAAAUUCUAAUUCUUUGGAUUUAUUUCCCCUUUCCCCUCUUUAAUUCUUAAUUUUUUGGAUAUAAACUAAAAAUAUCUUCUAUAUGUCUGAUGAUAAUGCAGGUCCUCGUUGAGGUAGUGUGGGAUUGCUCUAUUAAAAUUUUAUGAUUCUGAUGUCCUCGUUGAGUCUCUUUAGGUGAUAUGCUUAAUUCUGAGAGCUCCUCUCUUGCACUAAGCUGGACGUACAUGUGAUUUUAUUCAGGUUUUGGAUCAGUUAUAGCUUUGAUGGACACGCUUUACUUCUUCUCUGUGCAACGUCUUCAUUGGUUUUUUGCAGGUUAUCUGAUCAUCCCGUGUAUUUCUCCAUAAUACAUCUUCAGGCCUUCGCACGGGUUUGUGAAGGAUCCUACGAAUAACCUGUGUUGCCUUGACUGAUCGUUGUCACUCGAAUUCAUGUUAUAUGAUUCAUCGGUGAUUGUGGAGGGGUAUAGUAUACUAAGAAGAUCUAUCGGUCAUAGAUCGUGGAGGCAAUGGGAUUUGCUCUGUUGAAUCUUGCUUCUCUACCCUCUUUUGGUUUCUUCUGAUUUCUCAAGAGGUUAGUUUCCCUUUCUGCUAUUGGUUAAUUUAUUUAAUUUAGGCUAUUUUUGGUUAGGUAUGUGUGUCUUUUAUUGGUUGUUUCCAGAUUUUCUGCAUCAAUCACUUCUCUGCUGAUGUCUGUCUACACAUAUUCAUAUGAAAGGUUAUCAAUAAUGUCUUCUGAUCUCCCUGGUGAUAUUUUGUUAUAGCAAGGAGGUUCUACAAGAGAAAAACGGCAGGUUUUUUUUGAAGCGAUUCCUAUGAGGCUAUGAUGAACCGAUCAUCGCUCGUUCCUGCCUGUGAAAUCGUCUCUAGGGUUUUGGGACUUUUGGAAGCGAAUCAAUCUAUGAUGAUACGACGCUCAUCGCUCCCCCGCUUCUGAAUUUUCACAGUACUCCUGAGUCCUACGGUUUUGUGGAGGAGGAUGCGCUAUGGCUGAUCUGUGAUGGCUUUGAUUGAUCCUUGUCAAGCGGGUCUGAUGAUGCAGGUCGUCGUUGAGGUAGUGUGGGAUUGCUCUGUUAAAAUCUUAUGAUUCUGAUAUCUUGUGUUACAUCUUCGAGUCUCUUUAGGUGAUAUGCGUAAUUCUGAGAGCUCCUCUGUUGCACUAAGCUGGACGUACAUGUGAUUUUAGUCAGGUUUUGGAUCAGUUAUGGCUUUGAUGGACACGCUUUACUUCUUCUCUGUGCAACGUCUUCAUUGGUUUUGUUGCAACGUCUUCAAUGAUUUUGUUCAUCCUCUUAACACAUCUUUCACUUCUUCUUCUUUUAUAUUUUUGUUCCUUACGUUUCUUUCUUCGUCUUGCAGGUUUUUUGGAAGGGAAUUAUGAUCUGAUCAUCACGUAUUUUUCGGUUUAGGUUUGUGAAGGAUCCUACGAUUGAUCGGUGAUGGCUUUGACUGAUAGUUGUCACUCUAGUUCAUGUUAUUCUUCUAAGGUUUUUAAUUAUGCUUUUUAACGAUGAGAGUCACGGCUUUGUUGGACACGCCUCUUCUCUGUUCGCAGUCUUCAGGGGUGUUUUGGAAGCGAAUUAUGAUCAGAUUCAGAUCAUUGUAUAAUCUUCUUGAGGCUACGUUUCAGGCUUUUUCACGGAUUUGUGGAGGAGGAUGCUACAAUUGGUCGGUGAUGGCUUUGAUGGAAACGGUUCUUCUCUGUGCUAGUCUUCAGAGGUGUUUUGGAAGCAAUUAUGAUCGGAUCAUUGCAUAUUCUUCUCCUAUGUUAUGAAUUUAUUUAUGUGGUUUACUUGUCAUUCUGUUAUUUCAGGUUUUUGGAUGAUGUUUUAAUCGAUGAGAGUGAUGUCUCAAGGAGACAUGGACACGCUUUGCUUCUUCUCUGUGCUAACGUGUUUUGGAAGCUAAGUAUGAUAUGAUCGAAUCAUUGCAUAUUAUUCUCCAGGCUACGUCUUUAGGCUUUCAACGCAUCUAUCUCUGGAGGAGUAUCCUUCGAUUGAUCGGUGCUGGCUUUGACUGGUCGUUGUCACGCAAAUUCAUGUUAUAUGAUCCAUCGGUGAUUGUGGAGGAGUAUACUAGGAAGAUCUAUCGGCCAUAGAUCGUGGAGGCAAUGGGAUUGCUCUGUUGAAUCUUUCUUUGCCGUUUCUCUUCUGAUUUCUCAAGAGGUAUGAUCUGUCCUCUGUGUGUCUUUUAUUGGUUGUUUCCAGAUUUUCUGCAUCAAUCACUCCUCUCUGUUUCUCUGCUGAUGUCUGUCUACACAUAUUCAUAUGAAAGGUUAUCAAUAAUGUCUUCUGAUCUCCCUGGUGAUCUUUUGUUAUAGCAAUAAGGUUCUACAAGAGAAAAACGGCAGCAUUGGCAGGCCCUGAAGCGAAGGACGGGAACGAGCGGAACCAUCAUAUCCUUAUGGCAGUUUUUAUUUUUUUAAUGUGAAAUGCUCUUUAAUUUUUGACAGGUAUAUUGAGCUCGAAAGAUGCCUUUGAUCUUGUGGUUCCAUUUUUACACUCCGACAUCCUCUGAUAUAAGAGGGAUUUUGAGCUGUGAACUGUGACAGUGGGGAGAGUCUUUUGAAUUUUUGGUAUGUUGAGGAUGCUAAGGAGUUUAAUUUGUGAGUGUGAACAUGUGGUCUAUUCAGGUUCUUGUUCUCUUUCUCCUUGGGAUCUGUUAGCUAUCUCUUUGUUUUUAUAAACUAGAUUUUGAAUUUUGGCUUCCUGAGUUUUGGACUGUGGCACUGGGCAGUCUGCAUCAUCAUUUGGACUUAUUAUUGGAUGUUUCAGGUUUUUUUUAGUUGAUGAUCUUCCUAGUGAUAGGGAAUUUAUGUUUUAUGCCUAAGACCCUAUCAUUUGUUACUGAUAGUCAAGGUUCUAAAAAGCAUCAGGUAACUAAUUGGUCACUUUCCCUAUGUAGUUUUUCAUGUUACAUCUAUUUCUAGUGUUUGAUCUUACUCUCAUAUGCUUGUGAUUGUGGUUUUACUUAUGUGAAGUGUUCCCUUCUUUGUUACUUCUAUGUUCCCUUCUUUGUUAUUUCUAUGUUAUUUCUUAUAUGUCUGAUCCUACUCUCAUAUGCUUGUGAUUGGUGAUUUUCUCUUUUCCUUGGAGAUAUGAUCAGUAUUGCUUCCCAUUUUCUCUUUUUGUCUUUCUGCAUUUUUCUAUGGUUUAAAUGAUAAUCACUUCUGUUUGGGAUUGUGUUUUCUAUUUCUACGUGAAUUCAUUAUCUUCGUAUAGGAAUUUGGUUGAUGCAAGUAGAAGUUCUGUUUAAAUUCUUAAUUCCUAUGGUUGAUUUAGGUGUCAUGAGCUUCUUUUUCCUGGUGUUUGUUUGUGGUUGUUAGUUGUUAGCCUCUUUCUAUUUGUGAAUUACUUCUGAUUGUUAUAGUUUACUGGGUAUUCAAGAGAUGUAAGCUUUGAGUUCCUCACUGGUUGCAUAAAGGAUUGAUCUCAGUUGGUAUGUUUCCUUUUAUUAUUAUUUCCUCCUUUGUAUGUCUUAUUGUAUUUUCCAGGAUAUCUUCAUCAACCACUUUACUCCGAUCCUUAGCAGUCUACUCGUAGUCAGAUGUCCUUUUAAAUGGGUUUGUACUUAUUUUCUGUCCUUUCAUGAUGGAAGUAAUUUUUGCAUUGAACAUCUUCGAGUCUGAGCUUCUCUUAAGCAGAAAGCUAGACAUUUAGUUAAUCAUGUAUAUGUUCAUAUUUCCUUCUUGGAUCUUCUGCAAUAUGCUGAUUCAUACUUCUUGUAUUUUGAAGUGUGUUUAGCCUCAUGAGCAUGUUACUCUGAGUCUAUGACAGUGGGGAGUUUCACAUGAUUGGAACUUGUCAUUCGAUUUUUUUGUUAAGUCUUUUAAGUUUUAACAUAGAUAACAGGUUACUACUUGGUCUCUUCCUUGUUUAUCCAUUUUGGUGUGCUACAUAUACGUACUUUUUCUUAUUUGUUUAAUCCCAAUUAUAUAUGCUUGUGAUGGUAUGCCAGACUCCCUUUUUGAUUUUUUGGGCAGUGAAGAUUGAAAUUUUGAUUGCAGUAUUUUUUUAUUCCAGUGGAUGCCUUUUACUGUUUUGGUUUUACCACUAUAUUGUCUUGUGUUGGUGAGUUGUGUUGCUGCUCAAUAUUCCCUUCUGAUUGUUAAUUUGAUGUCAUCGUUUAUUUGAUUAUGUAAGUGAUUCUUGCUGGUAGCGUGACCUCUUGGGGCAUGCUCAUAGAAAGUGAAGAGCGUCUUGGUUUUGAUGAUAAUGGUCUUUUACUUCUGACUUAUGAGGUUUCUUGCUUCCUGGGUUGUGGUUUGUUUUAAUGGUUCUGUAGACAUUUGAUAAUGAAGUCCUCGCUUGAUUUGUUUGUUUGGGUGAUUUGCAUUAUGUUGUUGGAUUUCAGGGGAGGCUUAAAUUUAUAGAUAGACUUUUUAUGAAUGUUCUCAGGUAGUCAAUGAAAAUUGAAAACGUCACCUUCCUUACAUCUGAUGAAGAGGCUGAUUAAGUAAGUUGUUGGAUUGUUACCUCCAGAUCAUAGUUCCUUUCUUCCUUGGACAUAUUGGCUUGCAGGUCAAAGCUUUCAGUCUAACACGUUAAAGUAACCUCCAUUACUUUGAUUAUUAUUAUUGGAUGUUUCAGGUUCGUUGUAGUUGAUGAUAUUCUUAGUGACGCUGGCAUUUAGGCAACUUAAGACCAUGUCUUUUGUUACUAAUUGGUCUCUUUCCUCUUUUUCUUUGUUUUUGUAUUUAUCAUGUUGCAUAUGUUCCUAGUGUUUGAUCUUAUUCCUAUCAUGCUGCAUAUGCCAAGGUUUUAUCAUAUACCUCAAUUAUUUUCUUGCGCCUUCUAGCUAGUCAAACGACCAGCCUGCCAUAAUUUUGUUUGUAGGUUCUUUCUUCCACUCUGCUUGUUAGGGUUGGUCUUCCACUCUGCUUGUUAGGGUUGGUGAUGGCGUAUGCAUUGGUAGGGUUGGUGAUGCUGGCGGAUUGGCGGGGCAUUAAGAGGUCUUGCCAUUAUUGUCAUAAUUUGGUUGGAGUGAACUUUCUGAAUGAUUGUGGGGAAUGUAUUGUGUGCUAGUAUGUAUAUAUAUAUAUGUACAUAUAUUAAACUAUUGUCUCGUGUUGAGGAUCAGUUGUGCUCUGCUCAUAUUCACAGCAGCGUGUGUUAUUACACCUAAAAAAGAAUCUGUUGAUUAA